CUUCUUUAGGCAGCGACUGCUUCCUAUGGACCAGAUGCUGAAGGCAUGGUGCAGCUCAUCACAUUACACCACCCAAAAGGAUCAGAAAACAGUGAGGGAAAACGAGCUGUUUGAGGAAUUCUACAGUGGAUAGCUCUGACCCAAGAGGCAAAAUACACGUUCUUAAGAAAAGCAUUCUUAAGAAACAUGAGUCACGAAUUAUCGGCAGCCCAGGGGCCCCACGUGGGUAAAAUGGAAAUCAUUCAGAAAGACACAGAAAGACAACCGCUGAGCAACUGGCAAAUGGGAAAAAAUAACCAGAAAACAUGAAGGGAAUAGUGAAGAAAGAGAAGGAAAUGACUGAGGGAUAAAGAAGAGAGAGGGGAAGAGGAAAAGAGAAGAAAGUGGCCAAAUAAGAGACGUUCAGAAAAUGCAAUGCCCUGCUUAGCUCCCGAGUUCCCCAGAGCUGUGUCCUCUCCCCCUUCCACUUGAAGCUAUGUCCGACUGUAGAACCAAAGACUAAUCAUCUCUC